AAUGAUCAUACGCAAGUCUUUAACGGAAGAAACUAGUGUCAGACAAACUAGCUAGGUCUUGCAAUUCAUUGUAAACUGGAUUUUCUGAUAGGAAAUUGGUCAAUU
rnacentral:lncRNA from 1 species